rnacentral:lncRNA from 1 species
UUUUUUAGUGAGUGUUUCUAGCUUUCUGCCUUCAAAAAGCAAAAUCUAGCAACAAAAGAAACAUCAACUUGAAAGUCAACACUGAGCCUUUCUAGCUUGGAGGGAGGGAGACAGUUUAUGGGGAAAUGGCUGCUUGUCUUGUCUGCUUCUGCACGUCUGGACACAACAGCAGAUGGCUACACUCUGGAGUUGUGUGCUCCCUGCAGCUAGUUUGUCAAAUGAACACUGGAAGGCCGUAGCUCUCCUUCCCUUGCUCCUCUCGCAGACCUGCGUGCUCAGCCCCCAUGUCACCAGAAGGAGCUCCCUGCCUUCAGCCAUUAGCCAUCCAUUAGCUAUCCCACUGUGCCCUGGGAUAGCAUUUUGAACCAAUAUUUCCAUUCGGUGUUCCCACAUCGCAGUCUGGAGAUGGCGGGGCAUAGGCCUUGUUAUCCAGCAGGAGUUUUACCCCAGGAUCCAUCCAAUCAGGUCUAAGGGAUUCUAGCACAUCCCAAGACUCCUUCACCAGAAUCAGGCUGGCCUAGAACUUGUUGUGUAGCUCAGGCUGCCCCAAA